GACGAACGCUGGCGGCGUGCUUAACACAUGCAAGUCGAACGGAGUGGCGAACGGGUGAGUAACACUUGGGUGAUCUGCCUUUCCCUUCGGGAUAAGCCUGGGAAACUGGGUCUAAUACCGGAUAGUGCAAGAUGAGCUCGCGGCCUAUCAUCUUGUUGGUGGGGUAAUGGCCUACCAAGGCGUCGACUGGUAGCCGGCCUGAGAGGGUGUACGGCAACAUUGGGGCUGGGAUACGGCCCAGACUCCUACGGGCGGCAGCAGUGGGGAAUAGUGCACAGUGGGCGGACGGCUGAUGCAGCGACGCCGCGUGGGGGAUGAAGGCUUUCGGGUUGUAAACUCCUUUCGACAGGGACGCGGUACCUGUAUAAGAAGCAACGGCUAACUACGUGCCAGCCGCCGCGGUAAUUC
rnacentral:rRNA from 1 species